ACAUAGCCAGUGGGUCUGAGCUGACUUUUCUUCCCAAGCCUGUGUGAUCCCCAAAACCCUUGGCUGCCCCCACUCUGCCCCCCGCCUCCCAGCCCUUCCAGCUGCAGCCUUUUCACUCAUUCCACCACCACUCAGCUCUGAGUGGCUACGCUGGCGGGCUCUCUGCUUUGCGUCGGAGACAUCACAGUGAGCAAAGGCAGAUAUGUUUUAUGUGCCCUUGAAGAAUCUCCCAGACAAACGUGUCAUUGCAGUCGGAGCCAAAUGGCCGGGGCAGGUGGCACAGAUGAAUGCCGGGCAGAGGAGCCUGCAGACUGGGGUCCCCUUAAAGGCAGAGUGAAUCUCAGAUUCAUCUUAGUCCCUUCCUGGGGUCUUGUUCAGGACCCUGCAUCCAGUAGAUGCUCAACAAAUGUCAACAUAGGAAUCCAGGUCCCAUCCUCUCCUCACUCAAGGGAUCCAAGGCUGCCUCUUCCUCUUCCGUAGUGGUGUGGCUUUGCAGAAGUCACUUAAGCUCUCUAAUCCUCCUCCUCAGAGUGCCAGACUGCAGCUGCCACAUGAAGAGAGAGAGGGUCUCCUAUGUUUCCUAGGCCUGUCUUGAACUCCCGGGCUCAAGCGAUUCUCCUGCCUCAGCCUCCCAACAUGCUGGAUCACAGGCAGUGGCCACCUCGCCUGGCCAGUUUUCCCUUUACAAAAACUGGAAUGCUGAGCCGGGCCACAUCAGUCUUGGCUGGACUCACUGCCCACCUCUGGGACCUUGGCGGUGGGGCGGGAAGGAGGACCUCAAAGGCUCAGCGAGUCCACCCCCAGCCCAGCCACCAGCGCCAGCCUCCUCCUCCGCAACACCCAGGCCCUUAUCAGGAAAGGAUUUGGGUUGGUGGGGAGGGGUGGGGGGAAGUUGGAGGCCUCAGGCUCAGCAAGGUGGGUCGGAGAGAUAGGGAAGUGGGGAGGGGGCUGCGGGCCCCUGCUGGGCGGGGGAGGGCAAUGGGAGGGAUGCCCAGAAUGGGCACGGUGGGGGACUUUGGCCAAGCUCUGUCCUCGCUGGCCUGGACCUCAACAUGUUUCCAGGACUUCUGCCUCCCAUCCUUGCCAGGCAAGUUGCCUGCACCUUUAAUUAGCAAGCAGCAGUUUCUCUCCAAUUCAUCACGGUCGCUGUUUAAUUAGCCGAGCCCAGGGCGCCCCCACCCCCAGCUCUGCCUGCCUGUCCUACCAAGGCCACCACCACCUCAGGGUGUCCCCUGUUACCACCCCCCACAAUCAUUCUGCUCCCCAGAGUGGGGGAUGGGCCCGGCACGCCCAGCUGAAACCUCAAGGAGAUUCUGGGCACCGGCGCUUGUAUUCAAGGCAUUCAGCAAACAUGAUUAGGGACCGAGGCUGUGCCAGGCUGGCUCUGGGUAGAACCCCGGCCGGACAUGCGGGGCAGGCUCUGGUCCUGUCCAGCUGCUGGAGAAUGGCUUCUCCCUUGGGAGGCGCUGGCACAUCUCUCUGGCUUGGUCCCUGAGUGCUGGGAGGAGGCUGCAGUACUCCUGUGUGUCACUCCCACCCCACAUCCGGAAAGGGACACCAUGUCUUCCUCUUCCUCUCUCUUCCAGAGCCCAGAAAGCUCCUCUGAGAAUGCUGGACCUCAGGACAGGGGCCCAUGCUCUGCACCCGGCCCUCAGCAGCCAGAUCCUAGAGGCCCAGUCCAAGCUGUGGGCCAAGGGAGCGGGGCGGGCUGAGGCCUGCUUUGUGUCGGCAGGGUCUGGGGAAUUGGGAGCACUGGCGGGAGCCCAUGGUCCGGGGCCGAACCAGCCCCCUUCUGUUUCCCUGAAGAAGGGUGAGGCUGAGGGCCCUCGGAACAGAGCCCCUGUGUCAUUCUGUGCAGGGCCGGGAUAGCCACUAGUCACUGUGGGCAGAAGCAAGAAGCAGAGGCUCAGGCUCCAUCCCAAGCCUGUGCUCCUGCUGGGCUGUGGGAGGUGUGACCCUUCCACUGUUUCGUAGACUGAGAACAUGGAGGGACUGGCAUUUGCUGUGUUACCCUGUGGUGCCAUCAGCGUGUUGUGACAGGGGCAGGAGGAGUGUGCUAGAACCCACCCACUCUGGUACUGCCCAUCUCUGUGGCCUUGGGCCAGCCACCAAACCGUACCAUGCCUUAGUUCCCCUAUGAUUCAUAGCUGCUUCAUGGGCUGAUGUGAGGAUUAAACAGCUUACUAUGUGUUGGGUCUGGUUUUGUUUGGCUUUGUUUUGUUUUUUGAGACAAGGUCUCACUCUGCUGCUCAGGCUGGAGUGCAGUGGUGCAAUCACAGCUCACAGCAGGCUCCACCUCUCAGGCUCAAGCGAUCCUCCCAUCUCAGCCUCCCUGAGUCUCGCUCUUUUGCCCAGGCUGGAUGGAGUGCAGUGGCGUGAUCUCAGCUCGCUGCAACCUCCACCUUCCGGGUUCAAGUGAUUCUCCUAUCUCAGCCUCCUGAGUAGCUGGGAUUACAGACUCCAGCAUAACCUUCUCCAGGAAGCUUUUCCAGAGCCCCCAGGCUAGGAACCUCCCCCCAACCCCUGAACUCAAGCCCCAGCAGCCCGUGCCUGCGCCAUCUCCAUCAGAGCUGCAUCUCUCUGGGUCUCUGGGUAACAAGUGCCAUUUCUUUGUUGUUUUCUGUGUCCCCCAAGGACAAAGCUCAGGCUGGAUUCAUCUCGGAAUUCCCAACACCGGGGUAGAACUGGCUCAUUUCAAUUUCAGUCAAUGUUUGUUGAGGAAAGGAGUGAAGAGUUGGACACAUGAAUGAACGCAUGAAACAGUCCGGAGUGGGGAAGCUGAAGCUCAGGCAUCAGGAUCCGGGAGAAGCAUCCAGUCCAGGCGGACGGGGUGGAAGGUUCAGAGCAGGGGCCCCAAGUCAGGAGUAGGGAGGCAGACGGCAAGACCUCCUUCCAUGAAAGGAGGCUGGGACCAGGGGACCAGGUAGUGCAACGCGGUGAGGGGGCUGUCAGGGCGACUGGCCGGAGGAGUCAGAGGCAGGAGGCACCACCAGGUUACAGACAAGGACCUUCUACAAGAGGGAAACGUGUCAUGGGCUCUGGAGCCCCUGUCCAGGUUCAAAUUGUGACCCUGUGCCAGGGACAGCUUCUUUGUGCCUCAGUUUUUCCCAUAAAAUGAGGAUAAUAAUACUUCAUUCAUGCCUUUUUUUCCCCUCAACAAACAUUUGUUGUAUGUCUGCUGUGGGCCCAGGACAGGAGGCUGAGAAGGAGCUGACCACAGUGGUCACACAGCCAAGCCCUGCUGCUGAGAUCUGACCCCAGUUCGCCUGUCACAAGUUCUAUCUGUGCCUCGUUGUCUGCCUCCUGGGGCUGUUAUGAGGGCUGAAGAAGGGGCAGGCACAGAGGAGACACUUACUAUAUGAUCAUUGUCCUCCUAGAGUAUCAUCACCAUCAGGUGGACUUCAGUGGCCAUCCCAGGCCUCCACGGAUCAACCACAAGAUCUUGGAGAAUGUCCUUACCCUCCAAGCCUCAGUUUACCUUUAGGGUGACCAACCAUCCUGGUUUGUCCAAAACUGAGGGUUUUCCUGGCACAGUCCCAGGCAAACUGGGAUGGUGAGUCACUGAUAUAGUUUGACUCUGUGUCCCCACCAAAUCUCACCUUGAAUUUUAAUAAUCCCUAGGUGUCAAGAGCAGGACCAAGUAGAGAUAAUUGAAUAAUGGUGGCAGUUUCCCCCAUGCUGUUCUCAUGAUAGUGAGUGAGUUCUCACGAGAUCUGAUGGUUUUAUAAGCAGCUUCCCCCUUUGCUCAGUAUCACUCUCCCUCCUGCCGCCCUGUGAAGAGCUGCCUUCCACCAUGAUUGUAAGUUUCCUGAGGCCUCCCCAGCCACGCAGAACUGUGAGUCAAUUAAACCUCUUUUCUUUAUAAAUU
rnacentral:lncRNA from 1 species